CUGCCCAGUGACAUAAGUUAAACGGCCGCGGAACCCUAACCGUGCAAAGGUAGCAUAAUCACUUGCCUAUUAAUUGUAGGCUAGAAUGAACGGAUAAACGAAAUAUAAACUGUCUCAGUCAGACCACUAAAAAUUAACAUAUGCAUGAAGAGUUGCAUAUAUGGUCGAAGGACAAGAAGACCCUAUAGAGCUUUAUCUAAACUGUGGCAACGCUGCAUAAAGGAUUCGGUUGGGGCGACCGAGGACAUAUUAAAAAACACCCUUAAAAAAAAUGAUCCAUAAAUCUAAAAACUGACCCUAUAAAGAUCACAAAAAUAAGCUACCUUAGGGAUAACAGGCUAAUCCCAUUUUAGAGUCCAUAUCUACAAUGGGGGUUGGCACCUCGAUGUUGGCUUAGGGUAUCAGUAUAGCGCAAAAGUUAUAUAAAGAUGGUUUGUUCAACCAGUAACUCCCU
rnacentral:rRNA from 1 species